rnacentral:rRNA from 1 species
CACGUAGGGCGCGAGCGUUGUCCGGAAUUAUUGGGCGUAAAGAGCUCGUAGGCGGCCUGUUGCGUCCGCUGUGAAAGCCCGGGGCUUAACCCCCGGGUCUGCAGUGGAUACGGGGCAGGCUAGAGGUAGGUAGGGGAGAAUGGAAUUCCCGGUGUAGCGGUGAAAUGCGUAGAUAUCUGGAGGAACACCGGUGGCGAAGGCGGCAUCCUGGACCGACACUGACGCUGAGGAGCGAAAGCCAGGGGGAGCAAACGGG